ACGGGAGGCAGCAGUGGGGGAUAUUGCACAAUGGGGGAAACCCUGAUGCAGCGACGCCGCGUGAGUGAUGAAGUAUUUCGGUAUGUAAAGCUCUAUCAGCAGGGAAGAAAAUGACGGUACCUGACUAAGAAGCACCGGCUAAAUACGUGCCAGCAGCCGCGGUAAUACGUAUGGUGCAAGCGUUAUCCGGAUUUACUGGGCGUAAAGGGAGCGUAGACGGCAUGGCAAGUCUGAAGUGAAAAUCCGGGGCUCAACCCCGGAACUGCUUUGGAAACUGUUAGGCUAGAGUACCGGAGGGGUAAGCGGAAUUCCUAGUGUAGCGGUGAAAUGCGUAGAUAUUAGGAGGAACACCAGUGGCGAAGGCGGCUUACUGGACGGUAACUGACGUUGAGGCUCGAAAGCGUGGGGAGCAAACAGGAUUAGAUACCCUGGUA
rnacentral:rRNA from 1 species